rnacentral:misc_RNA from 1 species
CGCCAAACAAGAAAAUAAAUUUUUUUUGGAGAACUUUCUAAUAAUCAGGCCAUUCAACAGUUCUAAAUUGGCAGGCUGGAGGCAUGCUCGAUGAAAGCAAGGACUAAGGAACAUAACUGUUCCCAAACUCAUUGUACAUCAUUAUUGAAGGCAGAUUAAAUACAAGAUAUUAGCAGGUGCUACUGGUCUUUUUCACAUCACCAGGACAAUGGUUUCGCAAAAGGAAGCAAAUGAAAAUAUUAGUCAAUCUAAUAUUAGUAAUACAUCUUCCAACUGAUGUUUGAGAGAUACAAUUAAGUCUCCAAAGUCAUGGAAAAAGAAAGGUGGUAUGUCAGAAAAACCUACUAAUUCUAUGUUUGGAAGAUCCAUAAAUACCAACUUGCUCCUCAGCAGCUCAUUCAAAACUUCUAAAAGGCAGAAUUUUGUACUAAAACUUGCUUGAAUCCUCUGUUUCACACAUCAUCAUUGCAAUCUUCCGGAAGCCAACCAUAGCUGCGUCGA